UGGGAAUAUAAAUUGGUGCGGCCACUGUGGAGCACAGUAUGGAAGUUCCUUAACAAACUGAAUAUAGAGUUUCCGUAUGAUCCAGCUAUCUCACUCCUGGGCAUACAUAUCUGGAGGAAAUUCCCAUUUAAAAAGAUACAGGCACCUCAAUGUCGAUGCUGCCGCUACUGCUAAGUCGCUUCAGUCAUGUCCAACUCUGUGCGACCCCAUAGAUGGCAGCCCACUAGGCUCCUCUGUCCCUGGGAUUCUCCAGGCAAGAAUACUGGAGUGGGUUGCCAUUUCCUUCUCCAAUACAUAGAAGUGCAAAGUGAAAGUGAAGUCGCUAAGUCGUGCCCGACUCUUAGGGACCCCAUGGGCUGGAGCCUACCAGGCUCCUCCGUCCAUUGGAUUUUCCAGGCAAGAGUACUGGCUGCUACUGCUGCUAAGUCACUUCAGUCGUGUCUGACUCUGUGUGACCCCAUAGAUGGCAGCCCACCAGGCUUCCCCAUCCCUGGGAUUCUCCAGGGACAGGGGAGCCUGGUGGGCUGCUGUCUAUGGGGUCCCACAGAGUCGGACAUGACUGAAGUGACUUAGCAGCAGCAUCCUGGAGUGGGUUGCCCUUUCCUCCUCCAGGGGAUCUUCCUGACCCAGGAAUCGAACCUGCCUCUCCAGCUUGGCAGGUGGAUUCUCUACCACGGAGCCACCAGGGAAGUCCUCUACAGAGAUAGAUCUCUAAACCAGAAGGUUCCUCUCCUCUCUCCUCUCGUACAAUGUGUUUGUGGAGGACCCAGACCCUUGGUCUUUUGCAUCUUCUCAUGAUCUGUGUCCUGUGGCUUCCCUGGGGGUGGGGGACCCCACAUUCUCAGACUGCUAUGUAGGGCAUUGCACCCCACAAGCUCUCCCCCAGUGGCAGCUGAUUUGCCAAAGAAAUACCACUGCAAGGUAGGGGCUGGCACAGAGCUGUGUGUUCAGUCAGAACAUACGGAGCAUGUGGUUCGGUCAUGUUCGACAGCUUUGCAACCUGUGGACUAUAGCCCACCAGACUCCUUUGUUCAUGGAAUUCUCUAGGCAAGAAUGCUGAAGUGGGUUGCCAUACUCUUUUCCAGGGGAUCUUCCCCACCCAGGGAUUGAACCCCAGUCUCCUGCACUGGCAGGCAGAUUCUUUACUAUCUGAGCCACCAGGGAAGCCUGCGACAGAGCCUGGGUGCCAGGUAAACAGCAAGGACUAGGCCUUAUCUACAGACUGUUACGGGAGUCUCAUCAGAGUCCCCAGAAAACAAGAUCUUUCCCAGGCCCUCUUAUCUUUCCACUUUGCACAGAUUUCCCAGGGCCAUCCACCCCUUCCGUUUCUGCUGCCAGAGCUGUACCCUGUCCUGUACAGAGGUGGGAGCAGGAAACCUGGGUCUCCAUCCUCAGGUAAGUGGUUCCCACCUUCCCCCUCCCACUAGGUGGACCCCAAACUCCCACCCUGGCUCGUAGGGCUUUGCAGGGCAGGACAAGCUCCCCUCUUUCAGCUCAGAGGCUCACUCUGCAUCUGCAUGCUGGCCAGAUUCCAC
ensembl:lncRNA